rnacentral:lncRNA from 1 species
UUCCGAGUGCCCCCAGGUGUCCUCAGGUGUGUUCUGGGUGCCCCCAGGUGUCCCCAGGUGUGUCCAGGUGUGAUCUAGACUGGGUUCCAGACCCGGUUCCGGAUCGGUUCUAGACUCGGUUCUAGACUCGGUUCUAGAAGGUUCUAGACUGGGUUCUAGGUACGUUCUAGAACGUUCUAGACUCGGUUCUAGAGCGGUUCUAGACUCGGUUCUAGAUCGGGUUCUAGAAGGUUCUAGAUCGGUUCUAGACUCGGUUCUAGAUUCGGUUCCAGAUGGGGUUCCAGGUGUGUCCCCAGGUGUGUCCCCAGGUGUCCCCAGGUGUCCCCAGGUGUGUCCCCAGGUGUGUCCCCAGGUGUCCCCAGGUGUGACAGGUGUGUGACAGGUGUGUCACAGGUGUCAUACCCAGCACGGUGAGCGUGGCUAUCUGGUGGUGGGUGUCAUCAGCGUACAGCUGGCAGCAGUGACCCUGUGUCCCCACGCCCCAGGUGUGUCCCCAGGUGUGUCCCCAUGCCCCAGGUGUGUGACAGGUGUGUCACAGGUGUCAUACCCAGCACAGUCAGGGUGGCUAUCUGGUGGUGGGUGUCAUCAGCAUACAGCUGGCA